UACGAAGGGGGCUAGCGUUGUUCGGAUUUACUGGGCGUAAAGCGCACGUAGGCGGAUUUUUAAGUCAGGGGUGAAAUCCCGGGGCUCAACCUCGGAACUGCCUUUGAUACUGGAGAUCUUGAGUCCGGAAGAGGUGAGUGGAACUGCGAGUGUAGAGGUGAAAUUCGUAGAUAUUCGCAAGAACACCAGUGGCGAAGGCGGACUUACUGGUCCGGUUCUGACGCUGAGGCGCGAAAGCGUGGGGAGCAAACAGG
rnacentral:rRNA from 1 species